CCUGCGGAAGGAUCAUUACCUAGAGUUGCGGGCUUUGCCUGCCAUCUCUUACCCAUGUCUUUUGAGUACCUUCGUUUCCUCGGCGGGUUCGCCCGCCGGUUGGACAACACUUAAACCCUUUGUAAUUGAAAUCAGCGUCUGAAAAACUUUAAUAGUUACAACUUUCAACAACGGAUCUCUUGGUUCUGGCAUCGAUGAAGAACGCAGCGAAAUGCGAUAAGUAGUGUGAAUUGCAGAAUUCAGUGAAUCAUCGAAUCUUUGAACGCACAUUGCGCCCCUUGGUAUUCCAUGGGGCAUGCCUGUUCGAGCGUCAUUUGUACCUUCAAGCUCUGCUUGGUGUUGGGUGUUUGUCUCGCCUUUUGCGCGCAGACUCGCCUCAAAACGAUUGGCAGCCGGCGUAUUGAUUUCGGAGCGCAGUACAUCUCGCGCUUUGCACUCACAACGACGACGUCCAAAAAGUACAUUUUUACACUCUUGACCUCGGAUCAGGUAGGGAUACCCGCUGAACUUAAGCAUAUCAAUAAGCGGAGG
rnacentral:rRNA from 1 species